rnacentral:rRNA from 1 species
GACGAACGCUGGCGGCGUGCUUAAUACAUGCAAGUCGAACGGAAAGGCCCUGCUUUUGUGGGGUGCUCGAGUGGCGAACGGGUGAGUAACACGUGAGUAACCUGCCCUUGACUUUGGGAUAACUUCAGGAAACUGGGGCUAAUACCGGAUAGGAGCUCCUGCUGCAUGGUGGGGGUUGGAAAGUUUCGGCGGUUGGGGAUGGACUCGAGGCUUAUCAGCUUGUUGGUGGGGUAGUGGCUUACCAAGGCUUUGACGGGUAGCCGGCCUGAGAGGGUGACCGGCCACAUUGGGACUGAGAUACGGCCCAGACGCCUACGGGGGGCAGCAGUGGGGAAUAUUGCACAAUGGGCGGAAGCCUGAUGCAGCAACGCCGCGUGCGGAAUGACGGCCUUCGGGUUGUAAACCGCUUUCGCCUGUGACGAAGCGUGAGUGACGGUAAUGGGUAAGGAAGCACCGGCUAACUACGUG